rfam:Gorilla gorilla gorilla genomic chromosome, chr11, whole genome shotgun sequence
ACCAGGUGCGGUGGCACGUGCCUGUAGUCACAGCUACUCGGGAGGCUGAGGCAGGAAGAUCACUAGAGUCCUCACUUGAGUUCUGGGCCUCGCUUUGCUAUGCUCAUCAGGUGUCCACACUGAGUUCAGCAUCAAUAUGGUGACCUCUUAGGAGCAGGGGACCACCUGGUUGCCUAAGGUAGGGUGAACUGGCCCAGGUGGGAAAUGGAGCACCUCAAAACUCCCAUGCUGAUCAGUAGUAGGAUCAUGCCUGUGAAUAGCCACUGCACUCCAGCCUGGGCAGCAUAGCGAGACCCUGUCUCUU